rnacentral:tRNA from 1 species
GCCCCGGUAGCUCAGCUGGAUAGAGCAUCUGCCUUCUAAGCAGAGGGUCGCAGGUUCGAGUCCUGUCCGGGGUA